CGGACGAGGUAAGAUAUAACGAGGUUUACCAUGCCCCUCUAAAUAGGCUGGUCCACAGAAAUCCGCCCACUACAGUAAGCUAAUUGAUAUCCCACCAAAUCAAUAAAAUUCCAAUAGCAUGACAUGGCAAUUAUUUUACAACACAACAUGUCAAGGCAAAACAACGGUUCACAUAUGUUUAGCAUAAUUACCAAUCCAGCCACUCAUGCCCACAUUAUCAUAAGCCAUUCUAUUCAAACCAUAAUUUACAACACAGCAAGUAGUCUCCAAUUACUCCAUUUUCAAACCAUCAUUUAAUUUCAAAACAAUUUUAUAAAAUCAUUUCAUUUAAUCACAGUUUGCUUAUAAAACAUAAAGAUUUACCAUUUAAACUCAUUUUCCAUAAAAUCACAAAAACGAAUUAAAAUUCACUUCAGAUAAUCAAGAUCAUGAUAAGAUUAAUCACUGUAAUGGGAAUCGAAUUUCGAGUACUUCGAUUUUUGAUCCUCGGGUACAUCUCUUUACUUUUGCCAGAAUGCUCACCACCUAGACAUAAUGCACAAUAAGUCAUUUACUACAUUUACGCUGAUUUGUUAUAAAACUAAUUCAUGCUCUAUACUAAUGCAUGAAAUGGGAUGUGAAAUACUCGGGUAACUAUCUAAAUACGGUGUUCAAUAUAAAUUCAAUUAUGUACCUAAAUAAAAUGGUAUUGGUCUAAUUCGAUCGAUCACCCAAUUAAUUGGCUAAUACGUCCAAUUCAACUCCAAACAAUUCCAUUUCUCUCCCAAUACUCCAAAUCAUUAAACACAAUUUAAAUAACUUGAAAUGUGGCAAAAUCAUCCUCACAUUUUCUCUUGAAAAAUUCGGACAUGGUGAGUGGACUAACAAUAUAAUUUUUCAUGUUUGAUUCUCACACCAUAAAUCAUUCAUUCCUAAUCAAAUCACUUGAAUAAAAUCAAGUCCACCAUCAACACACCAUAGGGAAGAUUCGGCCAAUGGAAGGUGAUGGAAGAAAAUGAAUUUUUCUUGUUUGUUUUUCAUGUUACACAUCACUAACUAACUAAAUACACUAGAAUAUAUUGAAAUCUAACCAAAUCCAAGUUCAAAACUCCUCCCCCCAUGUCCGGCCAGCAAGGGUAUCCUCAUGCAAACUUGAUUCUCAAUCAUGAAAAGUGAAAAAGAAUGCAUAGGAAAGGUAGAUCAUAAGCUAGAAUUGAAAAAUCUUACCUUUUGUCACUUGAUUCUUUGAAAUUUUGUGAAUUUCUGUUGAAUUUCUUAGCUAGCUUUUUGUUCUUCUUCUUUUCUUCCCUUUUCUUCCUUUGGCCGACCAAGAGAAAUGAGUUGGGAGGGUUAUGGGCUGAUUUUUAAAGUCAAAUAAUAAAAUAAUCCAAGUUUGACACUUGUCACAAUGUUAUUGGUCCAUAUUUAAAAACUUAAUA
rnacentral:lncRNA from 1 species